AUUUGAGGCUGGAUGCAGUGGCUCACGCCUACACUCUAGGAGGUAGAGGUGGGAGGACUGAUUGAGGCCAGGAGUUGGAGACCAGCCUGGGCAACACAGUGAGAACCCUCUCUACAAAAAAUACAAAAAUUAGCCAAGUGAGGUGGUAUAUGCCUGUAGUCCCAGCUACUCAGGAGGUUGAAGUGGGAGGAUCUCUCGAGCCAAGGAGGUUGAGGCUGCAGUGAGCUAUGAUCACACCACUGUACUCCAGCCUGGGCAACAGAGCAAGACCCUGUCUCUCAAAAAGAGAGAAAAAGAAAGAAAACAUUUGAGCUCCAUAGAUUGACAUUCUGAUUUGAACAGUUUCCCAUAGAGGGAGAAUUGCGGCGAAAGAGGCAAGGCCUGCCCACAAUGCAUGGUCUGGGACUUAGCUGAUGAAGUGCUCUGCACCACCCAGCUUCGAGGAGAUGGGGACUGGGGUUUCCCCUUGCUUGACAUCUUAACUACUUCACUGCAGGAAAGGGGAGGAGGGACAAGAGGAGGACCAAUCCCCAAGGGACACGGAGACCCACAUUAGGUUUUGGAACCCACGCCUGGUACUAUCUGAAUUUAAAAGCCUUGCUUGACUCAGGCGGGGCUGAUCAAAGGCCAUUUGCUGUUUUAGAGUGUUCCUAUGUGUGCUUGGCAGACAGAGUUGUCUUUUUAUUGCUUCCAUUCCCACUAAGACCUCCAUCCCCCCACUGCCCCCCCAACCCCUUGGUGAGCUUGGUGAGAUGUGUUUUUUUUUCUUUUUUUAAUUUUAAGUUCCAGGAUACAUGUGCAGGAUGUGCAGGUUUGUUACAAGGUAAAUAUGUGCCAUGGUGGUUUGCUGCACCUAUCAACCCAUCACCUAGGUAUUAAGCCCUGCAUGCAUUAGCUGUUUAUCAUGAUGCUGUCCCUCCUGAUGAGAUGGUUUUAAGUUGGCACCAGCACCUGUUUCUCAUGCCUUGCGUAUGCAGCAGGAACUGUGAACUAGGGACAGGUUCAUGCCCUUUGGCCACUGCAGACGUGGAGCUGUGGACGCCAGUACUUGUGUGGAGAGUCGGUGUCUGUUGGCUGUAUCUCAGCUUUCUUUUCAGGGCAGACCUGAUACAGGUGUUCUAGGUGGGAAAAGCCUUAGCACUUGUUGUGAACUAUUAUAUUGUUACUCUCUGGAAGGGAAGGUGGAAAGGGGAAUCUAUGCCAGUGAGCACAACACAGGCCGCAUAUGGACACACAUGAGGUCGCUCGGCAUGCUCUUAGGCCCAGAGGAGACAGAAUCAGAUACUAGCCUAUCCUCUGGCUGCUCCCAGGCUAGCAGGGAGGUAGGUGUCUAAACCAGGAUGUGAGCUAGAGGGGACUAUAGCCGUGCACAGGAGGGGCACAGAGGACGGAGCAAGCAGGGCAGGCUUCACGGAGGAGGGCUUGUGAGCUGAAUCUUGAGAGAGAGGAGAUCCUCCAAGUUGAGGGAACUGUGGGAGCAGUUAGACAGCUUGGAUUUUGGGGGGUGUAGCACAUUGCUCCUUAUGGGCUGGGGUGUAAUGUGCAGAGGAGGGCAGAGGGAAGAUUGAUUUGCUCAUUAUGCAACAAAUGUCUGGAGCUCCAGUCCUGAACCAGGCCCAAAGCUGGGGAAUAGCAACUCAGUCCCUGCCCUUGUGGAGUCUGUGGCUGGCAGGGGCAUGUUCAUUAAACAACUUAUUGCAUGAUUCACUACUUUUCUUUUUCUUUCUUUUUUCUUUUUUUUGUGAGACAAGAUCUUGCUCUGUCUCCCAGGCUGGAGUGCAGUGGCACAAUCAAAGCUCACUGCAGCCUUGAAUUCCUGGGCUCAAGCGGUUCUCCUGCGUCAGCCUCCCAAGUAGCUAGGACCGCAGGCACACAUCACUGUGCCUGGCUAGUUUUUUAAAUUUUUUGUAGAGGUGGGUAUCUCACUUUGUUGCCCAGGCUGGUUGAACUCCCGUGAGCUCAAGUGAUCCUCUUGCCUUGGCCUCCCAAAGUAUUGGGACUACAGGCGUGAGCCACAGUGCCUGGCCUGAUUCAUGAUUGAAGUACCAUUACCAUAAAUGCUAUACAUCCAUGCAUUGGAUGUUAAAGGGAUCAUAAC
rnacentral:lncRNA from 10 species